GACAGAGGUGCCAAGCGUUAGGCGGAAUCACUGGGCUUAAAGCGUGUGUAGGCGGGCGGGCAGGUACCUUGUGAAAUCCCACGGCUCAACCGUGGAACGGCUGGGUAUACUGCCUGUCUUGAGCCAACUAGGGGCGAGCGGAACAGACGGUGGAGCGGUGAAAUGCGUAGAUAUCAGGAGGAACACCUGCGGUGUAGACGGCUUUCUGGACCAUUGUUGACGCUGAGACACGAAAGCGUGGGUAGCAAACAGG
rnacentral:rRNA from 1 species